GCUGAUAUGGCGAAAUUGGUAGACGCACAGGUCUCAAAAACCUGCGAGAAAUCAUGUGGGUUCGAGUCCCACUAUCAGCACCA
rnacentral:tRNA from 1 species